rnacentral:rRNA from 1 species
CCCUUAGAUGUUCUGGGCCGCACGCGCGCUACAAUGAUGAAUUCAACGAGUUUAUAACCUUGGUUGAAAAGCCUGGGUAAUCUUUUGAACUUUCGUCGUGAUGGGGCUAGACCCUUGCAAUUAUUGGUCUCCAACGAGGAAUUCCUAGUAAACGCAAGUCACCAGCUUGCAUUGAUUACGUCCCUGCCCUUUGUACACACCGCCCGUCGCACCUACCGAUUGAAUGGUCCGGUGAAAUCUUCGGAUUGAGACUUUGAUUUGUUUACUCAAAACGCUGUUUCAAGAAGUUGAUUAAACCUUACCAUUUAGAGGAAGGUGAAGUCGUAACA